GAGCCUCUUCUGCACCAGUGCCACCCCAGAGCCCAUGGAGGCUGAGCAUUCAGCACCGCCCGAAAAGCGCAAGUCGAAGCGCGUCCGCAUUUCUGUCACAGACCAGUACGAGCUGCCCGGCGAGAUGACCCCCGCUGAG